rnacentral:lncRNA from 1 species
GCCAGCCCCUCCCGGCCCGGGGCGCCGACGAGGUCGGUCGGGGGGGCGAAGCUGCCGGGCUGAGCGCGCAGCGGACCUACGCGGCCCGAGGCCCCCGACCGGGCGCCCCUCGCACCCUGGGGGGUCGCGCGCCUCCAGCUGUGCGAGCUCCCGCGGAGAGUCACCGGGACCCAGGAGCCUUCAUGGAAACCAUCACCGUCUCCACAGUGAAACCAGGGAAGGGGGGAUGGGUGGUCGGGGGGGGGGGGUAUGCGGGGUGCGGGGUGGAUGGAUGGUUGGGCGGGGGAAGCGGGGCUGGGGGGGAUGCGGGGUGCGGGGGCAGAUCCGGGGUCAGGGGGGAUGGGGGUGCGGCGGGAUGCAGGGCUGGAGGGGAUGCGGGGUGCAGAUCCGGGGUGGGGGCGAUGGGGGUGCGGGGGAUGCGGGGCUGGGGGGGAUGCGGGAGGCAGAUCCGGGGUCGGGGGGGAUGGGGGGUGCGGGGGAUGCAGGGCUGGAGGGCUCCCUUACUGGCUCGCGCGCCUUCCCCGCUCUGCUGAGCCUCCCCCAGCAGAGCGGCUUCUCCAGCAGCCUGGCCUCCCAAAGCAAACUUGAGACCAACUUUAAAGGCAAAAUUCCCAAAUCGCCUUUCCUUGGGAGCCCCCCUCAACGACGGGCUGUGCCAAGGCCCGGCACUGGGUGGCCCCAGGAUUCUGGCGCCCAAGACCCCGGGCAGGGAGGAGCACCCCACCUGCCUGCGUCCGGGCCACCUGCGCCUCUUCUGAGCCUCGCCAGGCGUCGCCCGCUUUGCCGCUGGAAGACAUGUAGCGAGAAAAAAGUAAGAAAGUGUGGGAGGAGGAACAAGUAUGGCAGGAGGUCACCUAAAACUCCUUCCCCGCUAAAAAGAAACCAGCACAACCCGGAAUGGUGGAACCUUUCCCAGCCGAGGACAGAUAAUCAGGCUAUCUGCGGCUUUCUGGCCCUCUGGCAAGCUCUGAACAUGAUCAAUAUUUAAAUAAGUACUUGGCUUUCAACUUCCCUCGGUUCAAAUAUUAAGCAAAGUGGACGCAAGCAACCUUAAAAGAAGCCAGUGAAUAUAUGAGGCAGGAAGCUGUCGGGUGUGUCAAGGACCCUUUGCGUCUGAUUGACUUUGCUCCUCUAGGUGCGGGUUACUCUGGACACUCGGCGCUAAACUUGGCGAGGACCCCAUCUGUUUAGACUUCAAAGCCUGCAUAGGGUCAGUCCCCAGACGGGGACGUUCGCCCAACAAGAAACCGGGUGGGUAAAUCCGUUGGGAAAAUUCUAACUUCCUGUGAGUAGGAUGCCAGCGUCCCAGCUCAGUUCUGUCUUUUCCAGUUAAUCACCCUUACAGACCUCCUCCAUAAACCCCUCUUUGUUGUCCUGGUUUCUGCCGGCCUCUGGACUUGGACGGAGCUUAAUGACCUUACCACAAUUAAGCAUGUGAUUAUAGUCACUGUCAUAUGUCAGACUGUUACAGGUUCUCGACCUCUCUUGUCUCAAGUACAAAGACUGUUUCUUAUCCCCGUCACCUCCCCAGUCCUAACUAGGGCGCGUGUGGAGUCUUUAAUACCUGUAUUGAGACUCUAGCUCCGGAGUAUUUAAAUUUGGGUUUUGUACAUGAGAGACUCCUAACUCCGGGAAAUGAACAAGGGAUAGUGGAAAGGGAGGUGGGCGGGGGGUUGGGGUGACGGAGGGGGACACCUGGUGGGAUGAGCAUUGGGUGUUAUGCUAUAUAUUGGCAAAUUGAACGCCAAUAAAAAUUUAAUUAAAAAUAAAUAAAUAAAAUGA